CUUAUCUUCGUUUAGUUCCUUUCCUUUUCCUACCUAUCAGAGUCCUGAUGACAUGAGACAUUACAGUUGCAAUUUUGGAUAUUUACUACUGAAAUUUUGCUUAAUUUUUUUUCUUCUGUGGGGGAGGUGGGAGGGAGAUGGGAAUGGUUUGUUGGGGCCUUGGAUUUUCGAGCUUUUGUCAGCUACCGAGACGAGUCAUCACGACUCAGGAGCGACGAGUCCGUCGUCACACUCAUUCGCGGCCGGCGGCCGUGGCCAUUUUGGGGAAGGAAACAAGGAAUGCAGCUGCUUCCCACGAUUGCAUCCUGGCCUCCUGGGGUGGGUCUGUGGCGUGGGUUAUCAUUACUGUGGUAGUCAAUCUAAGUUAAGAAAAAGCUCCGAUUUUUUUUUUUUU